CAGUAACCGGUAAUGAAUGCGUCUCCUAGCAGCCCUCAGCGAGUCAUCCUUGAUAUGUUUACCCUAACCGGUAACAGAUGCCCUCCCUGUCAGAUUUUGUUAUCCCCGUACCCAGUAGCCGGUAGUGGAUAAUAUAUUUCUGCUCCUCCAGUGUUGAAGAUCUUUUCUUCCCCAAUCGAGUUUGAGUGCGUAUUUCCUUAGUGGAAUCGUUGUUCCUUCUUGGUUCGAGUAUUUCUGUUUUGCUUUGAUCUACCUAUGUCCC
rnacentral:lncRNA from 1 species